GAACGCUGGCGGCAUGCCUAACACAUGCAAGUCGAACGGUAACGCGGAGAGCUUGCUCUCUGGCGACGAGUGGCGGACGGGUGAGUAAUACUUAGGAAUCUGCCCAGUAGUGGGGGACAACAUUCGGAAACGGAUGCUAAUACCGCAUACGCACUACGGUGGAAAGUGGGGGAUCUUCGGACCUCACGCUAUUGGAUGAGCCUAAGUCGGAUUAGCUUGUUGGUGAGGUAAUGGCUCACCAAGGCGACGAUCCGUAGCUGGUCUGAGAGGACGAUCAGCCACACUGGGACUGAGACACGGCCCAGACUCCUACGGGAGGCAGCAGUGGGGAAUAUUGGACAAUGGGCGCAAGCCUGAUCCAGCAAUGCCGCGUGUGUGAAGAAGGCCUGCGGGUUGUAAAGCACUUUCAGUAGAGAAGAAAAGCCCAGGGUUAAUACCCCUGAGUCUUGACGUAACCUACAGAAGAAGCACCGGCUAACUCCGUG
rnacentral:rRNA from 1 species